AGAGUUUGAUCAUGGCUCAGAACGAACGCUGGCGGCAGGCUUAACACAUGCAAGUCGAACGGUCUCUUCGGAGGCAGUGGCAGACGGGUGAGUAACGCGUGGGAAUCUACCUAGUUCUACGGAACAACAGAGGGAAACUUCUGCUAAUACCGUAUACGCCCUACGGGGGAAAGAUUUAUCGGAAUUAGAUGAGCCCGCGUAAGAUUAGCUAGUUGGUGGGGUAAUGGCCUACCAAGGCGACGAUCUUUAGCUGGUCUGAGAGGAUGAUCAGCCACACUGGGACUGAGAUACGGCCCAGACUCCUACGGGAGGCAGCAGUGGGGAAUAUUGGACAAUGGGCGCAAGCCUGAUCCAGCAAUGCCGCGUGAGUGAAGAAGGCCUUAGGGUUGUAAAGCUCUUUCGCACGCGACGAUGAUGACGGUAGCGUGAGAAGAAGCCCCGGCUAACUCCGUGCCAGCCGCCGCGGUAAUUC
rnacentral:rRNA from 1 species